AAUAUGCAUGUCUGAAUUGUCUAAACCCCACAGAUUCAAGAUAAUCUUUUUUUAGAUUUCUGUAAAAAAUUAAGAGACUUUACCUAUAAGGAGUUGUUGACUUAUGCCAUAAAUUAGAAGUGCUUAUACUUCCUCUAAAACUCCUUGCUGUAUGUGUUGGCAGGGAUGUGGGAAGGUGCAGGAUUGGAGGGGCAAGUUCUGGUUGCUGUGGGCUUUUUCACUUUGCAACUUGAAGCUUUCUCAGCCCCAGAAAUUCUUGGCUCUCCUUCAGCUAUUGCUUUGCUUUAAUUGUCUCAUGGAUGUUUUGGCCGGCAGCAAAAGUGCCCAACUGUGGAGCCCUUCCCUACAAUUUGAGGCACCAUGAAAGCAAAUGGCAAAUAUGGGGGGUCAUCCCAUGGGAACAUGAAAUUGCAGACUUCCAGUUUGACAGAACGGAUGCAGCUGAUGCAGAACUGGGAUGGACAAGGAGCAGCAUCCAGGCUGGAGUCUGCAGAAGCUGCUGUGUGAGAGAUCUGCAGCAGAAGGAAUUCAAUAUGCUGCCCUUCCCUUCUGGUUGCAGACACAUGGAAACAGAUGGCACCAUUUACCAUCACCAUGCUUCAAACCGUUUUCCUGGACCGUGCUCUUGGCAUAUGGGAAACUGGGCCACCUCUGAGCUUCUCGCACCUUGCAAGGUUCAUGCCUUCCUUGGAGCUCCCCAUCCCAGCACUAACGAGCUUCCACUCGGACAGCUUGGCAGAUUGACAAGGAUAUGAGUGCUUGCAAGGAUGUGAUGACCUGCCCAUCUCCCUGGCUGGGGUGUCAAGCAAUGGUAUAGAUCAUUCCCUCAUCUGGGAAUCAGGACAACAGACCCGUCAGUGUGUGAGAGUGACAGGAAACCGCGCUUACCCAGCAUUAGAAAUAAGAAAGUGCAACAAGACCUGCACCUUUAAUUGCAUCCUCACUCCCUGUGACAGCUGAAACCCCCUUAAUUAAUACACUUCAUACACUGUCUAUUUUUGAUCUACUUCAAAUUCCAACCAUCAGCAGAGGAUGUUUGUCCCAUUCCUGCUGAGAGCCCCCUGGGAUUUGUGAUGCCCAUCAUUCAGCCUCGCUCGAGCAAAAAGACAGCUGUGGCUACCUCUCUCCUGCAUGAAAUAUCCCCCUCCUCUCCUUUCUGAGUAUGCUUGGCUCACUCAGCUUCCUCAGCACUCCAGACUGCCCUCCUUCCCUUGGCAUACAGAACUUCACCCUUUAAUAAAACUCUUUGUCUUCCAUGUA